rnacentral:miRNA from 3 species
CCCUCAUUGUACAUGCUGUGUG